AAGCCAAUUCCUCAUAGGCAGGCUAUCGGCCAGUCGCGGUUGUAAUUGACCAGGGAGCAGGCGGAGG
rnacentral:sRNA from 1 species